UACGUAGGUGGCAAGCGUUGUCCGGAAUUAUUGGGCGUAAAGCGCGCGCAGGCGGCUAUGUAAGUCUGGUGUUAAAGCCCGGGGCUCAACCCCGGUCCGCAUUGGAAACUGCGUAGCUUGAGUGCAGAAGAGGAAAGCGGUAUUCCACGUGUAGCGGUGAAAUGCGUAGAGAUGUGGAGGAACACCAGUGGCGAAGGCGGCUUUCUGGCUCAA
rnacentral:rRNA from 1 species